rnacentral:rRNA from 11 species
AGUGGUGGUGUAAAUACCAUAAAAGCACCAAAUCCUGUCUGCUCUUGGAAGCUAAGAAAAGGUCAGCCAUAGUUACUACUUGAAUGGGAGACCACCAAUGAAUGCAAGGUGCUGUAGACUA